UACGAGUGCCCCAAGCGUUAUCCGGAAUUAUUGGGCGUAAAGGGUGUGUAGGUGGUUUUGUUAGUCUUUUGUUAAAGCUCUCGGCUUAACCUCGGGUCUGCAUUCGAUACGGGCUAGCUAGAGUGUGGUAGGGGAGAUCGGAAUUCCUGGUGUAGCGGUGAAAUGCGCAGAUAUCAGGAGGAACACCGGUGGCGAAGGCGGAUCUCUGGGCCAUUACUGACGCUGAGGAGCGAAAGCGUGGGGAGCGAACAGG
rnacentral:rRNA from 1 species